CAUCAAGUUGGGUGUAUCUUGUUCACUAAGUUGGAUGUAUAUUUGUUUUGAAUAACAUGAAAUCUGUUUAGACUACCGGCUGUCAACUUGGGAAGUGAUGAUACUUCCUCUCAAAGACGCACAGAACAGAGUAGUGUAACCCUGCCGUCUCAGAGCAUGUUGACUCCGGACGAUUCGAAUAUGAUGGUUGUUAGGGAACAAACGCCGUCGGAAGCGCUUGCAAUAGUCCCGAUCCAAUUUUUUGUGCCGCCAUCCCAGCAAACAACCACUGACGCAGAUUCCGAACCAACCCCUAUGCUACAGAUUGAAGGGGCUAGAGAAACGUAAGAAAAUAGUAUUGGGUGUAUAUUUGCUUAAUGUUUGGGUGUAUAUUUGCUAAGAGUU